UUCGGUCCAUCAGUUCGCGAGAAACGUCGAUCUCGUCGGUGAAAACCGAUGACAAGUAUUUUUGCCGACGACUCGCACGAGUUUGACGUACGGGGUGCUGCACUUACAGUUUCCUCUUCCGAAUGUGCACAUUGAACGAGGUCGAAUUCGUUCCAUCCAUUUCAGAGAAAUGUCGAUCUCGUCCGUGAAAACCGAUGACAAGUAUUUUUGCGGACGGCUGGCACGAUUUUGACGAACGAGGUGCUGUGUUGUCAGCUUGCUCUUACGAAUGUGCACAUUGAACGUGAUCGAAUUCGUUCCAUCCAUUUCAGAGAAACGUCGUUCUCGUCCGUGAAAACCGAUGACAAGUAUUUUUGCGGAC